rnacentral:rRNA from 1 species
ACUACGUGAGGCAGCAGUAGGGAAUCUUCGGCAAUGGACGAAAGUCUGACCGAGCAACGCCGCGUGAGUGAAGAAGGUUUUCGGAUCGUAAAACUCUGUUGGUAGAGAAGAACGUUGGUGAGAGUGGAAAGCUCAUCAAGUGACGGUAACUACCCAGAAAGGGACGGCUAACUACGUGCCAGCAGCCUCGGUAAUACGUAGGUCCCGAGCGUUGUCCGGAUUUAUUGGGGGUAAAGCGAGGGCAGGUGGUUUAUUAAGUCUGGUGUAAAAGGGAGUGGCUCAACCACUGUAUGCAUUGGAGACUGGUAGACUUGUGUGCAGGAGAGGAGAGUGGAAUGCCAGGUGUAGCGGUGAAAUGCGUAGAUAUAUGGAGGAACACCGGUGGCGAAAGAGGCUCUCUGGCCUGUAACUGACACUGAGGCUCGAAAGCGUGGGGAGCGAACAGGAUUAGAUACCCUUGUAGUC